rnacentral:rRNA from 1 species
UACAGAGGGGGCAAGCGUUGUUCGGAAUUACUGGGCGUAAAGGGCGCGUAGGCGGCCUGUUAAGUCGGACGUGAAAUCCCCGGGCUCAACCCGGGAACUGCGUCCGAUACUGGGAGGCUUGAAUCCGGGAGAGGGAUGUGGAAUUCCAGGUGUAGCGGUGAAAUGCGUAGAUAUCUGGAGGAACACCGGUGGCGAAGGCGGCAUCCUGGACCGGUAUUGACGCUGAGGCGCGAAAGCCAGGGGAGCAAACGGG